CGGGGAUUUAGAGGAGCUUGCUUCUCGAAGAUCCCAGUGGCGGACGGGUGAGUAACGCGUGGGCAAUCUGCCCGUAAGAGGGGGAUAACAUCGGGAAACCGGUGCUAAUACCGCAUAAUAUCUGUAUACCGCAUGGUAGGCAGAUUAAAGGAGCGAUCCGCUUACGGAUGAGCCCGCGUCUGAUUAGCUAGUUGGUGGGGUAACGGCCUACCAAGGCGACGAUCAGUAGCCGGCCUGAGAGGGUGACCGGCCACACUGGAACUGAGACACGGUCCAGACUCCUACGGGAGGCAGCAGUGGGGAAUCUUCCGCAAUGGGCGAAAGCCUGACGGAGCAACGCCGCGUGAGCGAAGAAGGCCUUCGGGUUGUAAAGCUCUGUCAUCAGGGAAGAAGAGAGUGACGGUACCUGAGGAGGAAGCCACGGCUAACUACGUGCCAGCAGCCGCGGUAAUACGUAGGUGGCAAGCGUUGUCCGGAAUUACUGGGCGUAAAGAGCGCGUAGGCGGGCGCUUAAGUCAGGGGUGAAAACUGCAGCUCAACUGCCAGCCUGCCUUUGAGACUGGGCGUCUUGAGGACAGGAGAGGGGAGCGGAAUUCCUAGUGUAGCGGUGAAAUGCGUAGAUAUUAGGAGGAACACCAGUGGCGAAGGCGGCUCUCUGGCCUGUAACUGACGCUGAGGCGCGAAAGCGUGGGGAGCGAACGGGAUUAGAUACCCCGGUAGUCCACGCCGUAAACGAUGGGUACUAGGUGUAGGAGGUAUCGAC
rnacentral:rRNA from 1 species